rnacentral:tRNA from 1 species
GGGGGCGUAGCUCAGCGGGUGAGAGCGCCGACCUGAUGAGUCGGAGGCCGGACGUUCAAGUCGUUCCGUCCCCA